UUAUUUUUGAGAGACAGAGACAGCAUGAACGGUAUUUUAUAAACAUAGCAUAAUUGAGAAGUGAUGCCUCAUGCACACUAUUCAGUUUUCUUUCAAGGAAAAUGCAUAUUUGAAAUAUUGAAGCCUAUAACCAUGCAGCAAAGUAAAAUAAUCUUUCCAUUUGCACCAUGUUCAAGGCAAUGAGUUAACUGGAACAUACAUAUGUAAGUUAAAUGUUAAUUUGAAUUAUACAUCAGAUUUAUGAGGUCAUUUUGUAGCCCUAAUUAGUUGCCUUUGGAGGCAGGAAAGAAAUAACAAUUACAGUAUUUUAUUUAAUAAGCACUUAUAGAGUUCCAAGACCAGUUCUAAGCACUUUAAAAUAUUAACUCAUUCCUCAUAGCAACCCUGUGACAUAGAUAUUAUUAUUAUUAUUUCCAUUCUGUAGAGAAGGAAUUGAGGCAAUUGACAGAACUAAAAUUUGAAACCAGUCUAGCUCCAAAAUCUAGAAGUUUUGGCUCUCCAUCAUCAUGUGCUGCAGAGGGAGUGCCUGUGCCCAGAGAUGAAUCUGUGUUACUUUACUAUUUGGUGCUGAUGAAGACCAGAAAAAAAUCAGAUAUACUUCCUCAAGGAGUUUAUAUAACAUGUGCUGUAAGUAGACAGAAAUAAUUUUUAUGGGACACAUUUUGUAAUGGAUGCUGCUUCCCUGGUCCACCUAUUCUAUGGUGGAUGUCAAAAUUUGAUUAAAAUGGUUAAAUGAUACCUAUUCAAUUCACUUUUCUAUUUAUCAUAAUUCAUAAGAGCUUUAUUUCAGGAUUUAAUGAUAACAAAAAUAAUACUGAUAGUGGUGAUAUAUUGUAGUUACUUAAAAGCUUAUGCGAGCAUUAUCAUUUUAAACAAUGGAAUAGGGGUGCUUGGGUGGCUCAGUUGAUUCAGCAUCUGACUCUUGAUU
rnacentral:lncRNA from 1 species